rnacentral:antisense_RNA from 1 species
UCACUGUGACUGUGGAUUUGGAAGGCUGAGAGUCCCUGGAGACGAAUUUGUUUCUUCCUUUGCAAGAUUCAGAUUCUGCACUUGGGGGCCCAUACAACACACUUCCCUGGGUGCAUGCCACUGCACCACCCCUGCUCCUCAAGGCACGCGCUCCGAUGCUCACAGGCCAUGGGACAGUCCAGUUCCGUGCAGACCCAGCAGGGCGUGGGCGGGCAGAGCCGCACCGUGAAGCCUGCCCGUUAUUUCCAUCGGGUGGUCCUGGAGAUGACACGGCUGGGGAAAUGGGUCACCGGAACUCCACGGCGGCCAGACGCCCAUCCAGUUUGCCUGCGGGAACUCGCUCUUCACCUUUUCUUCACAAACUUCCUUCUGGAAGCGUUGGGAUUUAAGCGUCUCCGCCCAGCUCCCAGGCUGCUGUCCCGGACCUGCAGGGUAGCUGAGCGGCUGGAGAUGUCGUUCUCGACAAAGGGCGACACCCCGGCGACGUAGUCAGGGGCGAACACGUUGGUUUUCUGCCUGGCCUUUCGGGAGAGUCGCAGCUGAGGGAAGCGCUGAUCCUCGGUGAGAUGGGGGUUG